rnacentral:rRNA from 1 species
UACGGGGGGAGCAAGCGUUGUUCGGAUUUACUGGGCGUAAAGGGCGCGUAGGCGGCCUCCGCAAGUCAGUUGUGAAAUCUCCGAGCUUAACUCGGAAAGGUCAACUGAUACUGCGGGGCUAGAGUGCGGAAGGGGCAACUGGAAUUCUCGGUGUAGCGGUGAAAUGCGUAGAUAUCAGGAGGAACACCAAUGGCGAAAGCAGCUCUCUGGGACGGUACUGACGCUGAGACGCGAAAGCGUGAGGAGCGAACAGG